GAAAACUCAAAUUUCUCCUUUUAGAUGUAGCACAAUCUACUAUUGGAGAGUGAUGUGGGAGGCUAAGGAGAGCAACAGAGAAUAGAAUCAGUGCAACACAACUCAGAGCAAGUUACGUGAAAUCUACUUCAAGCUGUGGUGGGUUCAGGAGUUGGUCUGAGUUGACCCAUCGAGUUUUAAAGCUGAGGUGUCGGAAUGGGUUUCCAACCGUGAGAAUGGGUAGAUUGGUGACUGGAGAGCUGUUAGAAUUGAUCAGGUGCUAGAAAAGCCUGAAAAAUUUGCAGGUCCAAAUUCAGUUCAAAUUUGACCUGGUCAAAUCUUCUUUUUCGAGAAGCUGCAGGUGAUCAGAACAGUGUCCGAAGGGUCGCUUGGUGCCGGUGAGUGCUGUGUCAAUGGUGGCGAGCCUGCCUGGUAGCCAGACGGUGGUCGAUAUGUGAGAAGGAUGCUCUCAGUGAUGGGUUUCUAUUUCUCGCGACUCGAUUUCUUUCUUUCUUUUU
rnacentral:misc_RNA from 1 species